rnacentral:rRNA from 1 species
UACGUAGGGCGCAAGCGUUGUCCGGAAUUAUUGGGCGUAAAGAGCUCGUAGGCGGUUUGUCGCGUCUGCUGUGAAAACCUAAGGCUCAACCUUGGGCUUGCAGUGGGUACGGGCAGACUAGAGUGCGGUAGGGGUGACUGGAAGUUCCUGGUGAUAGCGGUGGAAUGCGCAGAUAUCAGGAGGAACACCGAUGGCGAAGGCAGGUCACUGGGCCGCAACUGACGGCUGGAGGAAGCGAAAGCAUGGGGAGCGAACAGG